AUUGAACGCUGGCGGCAGGCCUAACACAUGCAAGUCGAGCGGAUGAAGGGAGCUUGCUCCUGGAUUCAGCGGCGGACGGGUGAGUAAUGCCUAGGAAUCUGCCUGGUAGUGGGGGAUAACGUCCGGAAACGGGCGCUAAUACCGCAUACGUCCUGAGGGAGAAAGUGGGGGAUCUUCGGACCUCACGCUAUCAGAUGAGCCCAGGUCGGAUUAGCUAGUUGGUGGGGUAAAGGCCUACCAAGGCGACGAUCCGUAACUGGUCUGAGAGGAUGAUCAGUCACACUGGAACUGAGACACGGUCCAGACUCCUACGGGCGGCAGCAGUGGGGAAUAUUGGACAAUGGGCGAAAGCCUGAUCCAGCCAUGCCGCGUGUGUGAAGAAGGUCUUCGGAUUGUAAAGCACUUUAAGUUGGGAGGAAGGGCAGUAAGUUAAUACCUUGCUGUUUUGACGUUACCAACAGAAUAAGCACCGGCUAACUUCGUG
rnacentral:rRNA from 1 species